CCUACGGGAGGCUGCAGUAGGGAAUUUUGCGCAAUGGGCGAAAGCCUGACGCAGCAACGCCGCGUGAUCGAUACGCCCUUUGGGGUUUAAAGAUCUGUCAGUUGGGACGGAACUUGACGGUACCCACAGAGGAAGCACCGGCUAACUCCGUGCCAGCAGCCGCGGUAAUACGGGGGGUGCAAGCGUUGUCCGGAAUCAUUGGGCGUAAAGAGUGCGUAGGCGGCACGGAAAGUCUGGUGUUAAAGGCAGAGGCUCAACUUCUGUACGGCACUGGAUACUGGCGAGCUAGAAUGCGGUAGAGGUAAAGGGAAUUCCUGGUGUAGCGGUGAAAUGCGUAGAUAUCAGGAGGAACAUCGGUGGCGUAAGCGCUUUACUGGGCCGUAAUUGACGCUGAGGAACGAAAGCCAGGGUAGCAAAUGGGAUUAGAUACCCCAGUAGUC
rnacentral:rRNA from 1 species